rnacentral:rRNA from 1 species
CACGCCGUAAACGAUGGGUACUAGGUGUAGGAGGUAUCGACCCCUUCUGUGCCGGAGUUAACACAAUAAGUACCCCGCCUGGGGAGUACGGCCGCAAGGUUGAAACUCAAAGGAAUUGACGGGGGCCCGCACAAGCGGUGGAGCAUGUGGUUUAAUUCGACGCAACGCGAAGAACCUUACCAGGUCUUGACAUUAUUUCGAAAGCCCUAGAGAUAGGGGCCCUUCUUCGGAAGCGGAAUAACAGGUGG